rnacentral:rRNA from 1 species
GACGAACCGAGCGAACGUUGUUCGGAAUCACUGGGCUUAAAGGGCGCGUAGGCGGGCUGUCAAGUCUGGGGUGAAAUCCCGCGGCUCAACCGUGGAACUGCCUUAGAUACUGACGGCCUCGAGGGAGAUAGGGGCGAGCGGAACUGAUGGUGGAGCGGUGAAAUGCGUUGAUAUCAUCAGGAACUCCGGUGGCGAAGGCGGCUCGCUGGACCUUUUCUGACGCUGAGGCGCGAAAGCUAGGGGAGCAAACGGG